UAGGAUAUAUAGGUGUGUGGGAUUAUGACACUUGUCAAUAGAUUGUGCAUUUAGUUAGUUAGUUAGUUACAUGUAUUUGAGCUGCUAUAUAAGUCUAAAUGUAAUGACUUCAUGAGUAAGAAAUACAUAAUACAUAUAUUCAUCUCUCUCUCUCUCUGCUUACUUUCUCUCUCUAAGUUCUUGAUAAUUCUCUCUCUGAUAUAUCUGCAUACAUAUUAACAUGCUUAGCCCUGGGAAUACCUAGGCUCCUUCAAGUAUAUAUGGGAUUUGGUUGAAAUAAUUACACAAUGUGCUGUUCGGACCCUUGAUCGGAGAAGUCUUGUAUUCCAAAAUCCUUGAGAAAGUGGAUCCGCUGUCCUCACCAGUAGCUGGUGUCUUCAUGUUCUCAUAUUAUGCGGGCUUCGAGCCCUAACUCACCAGCUAUGGACUAGUUACACGAACAUGCUUUUCCUCACAAGAAAUCGCCGGAUCAUCCAACAGGGCGUUGAUUUCAAGCAGAUUGACAAAGAAUGCCACUGGGAUAAUUUCAUAAUUCUUCAAGGGAUAAUUGCGUCCAUUGUCUGCUGUUUGCUUCCGUCAUUUGUGCAGAAGCUUCCCUUGUGGAGUACAAUAGGAUUUAUUACCACUCUGGUACUGCACGUGGGAGUUUCAGAGCCUUUAUAUUAUUGGCUUCACAGACGUUUUCACGGCAACAGCUACUUUUUGAGUAGAAAGUAUUAUUCGCUCCACAGAAUUGCAUUUCCAGCUGGAACUCCAAUGUUAUUGGCUCCAACAUCUACUUUUUGUAUACAGCUGGAAAUGCAACCCUAUUGGAGCAUCUGAUAUUGAGCAUAAUUAUUGGAGUUCCAGUUUGUGGUACGAGUCUGAUGGGUUGUGGAUCAGUGUGCACCAUCUAUGGCUACGUUUUGGUUUUUGAUUUUCUGAGAUGUUAGGGGCAUUCCAAUGUUGAGAAAAACCCCUUCCUCGGAUAUCUUCUCCAUACUCCAACGUGAGUAAUUAUGUUAGAGUAAAAUUGUCAGUUCCUAAACAAAACGCCUAAGUCUGUAAUCUUAGACUAGUGCUUAUUUUCAGUUGUAAUUAUUUUAGUCUAAAUUUGUCUCACAUGCUCUUGAUCACAAAAUGGCAAGCGUUUCAGAGACAUCUACUCAAUAUCUUGCGAAAGUCGAGAAGAUAGUGAUUGAUAGCCGCGUUAGUGUUGUGCCACUUCCACUCGAAGGCUGAAGAGAGAUCGAGUAGCAAAGUGCGGAGACAAAACUGCCUAUUAGUAUGCGUGUCUAAUUGAUGAGUUUUGUAAGUCUUUCUGUACUUAUUUCUCUUAGUGUUUGUCCUGGCUUGGGAGCCCGAGGAUUUUCCCAGUGAUGGGUUUUGCCUCAUUAAAUCCUACAUCCUGCGUGCACUUUUUAUUUAUGGUUUUAAUUGAUGUGAAUGUAGAUUUAAUUUGAGAACUGAAAAUUAAAUUGAAAAUUGAAUUGAAUUUUUAAAUUGGAACCUAUUCACCCCCGUCUAGUUAGGAAUAGCUACAGUAGAUAAUUGAUAUACAAAUGACUUAUUUGAUUCAGCCAGGUGACGAGAAGACACAUAAUUAUUUAAUGGAUAUCUCACUCUUGAAUAAGAACUUGGUUCACUCACAGAAUACUUGUGUUUACACUUAGGAUCCGCCUCAUAAGUAGGUUUAGGAAUACCUUGGUUAAUUCGCUCGGAAAGACGACGAAGUGGAGGUGUAUCCAUUAUAGAAGACGAUUGGUUAUGCGUACUAACAGGAGAUGAGUCCAUAUUAUGACUUGAGACAACUUCUGGGGAAGAAUCACGAGCUAGCUGUUGCUGCUCGGUUUCAUUUAAAACCAUAGGAUGCAAUUCCUCAAGCACAGAACCCGUGGGCAUGUCUUCCUCCUGAGGCUAAGGGGCCAGUUCCUGGUUCGCUGGUUGCUGUUCGGUGGUCCGAUCAAUAGGCUGCUAUUCAGUUAGCCGUUGUCAGUGGGCUGCUGUUUAAUGGCUUACUGAUCACCAAAGGUCGUGGGCUCCAAAUAUGGUUGAUGUUCUUCAUGCAGCUCAUUCUAGCCGUAGGGAAAUAAUAAAAAAUUGAACUUCAUCACCUCGAUACUCCCCUUGAAGUGAGGACACAAAGGAACUAAAGAACAUUUCUUUCUCUUGGAAAAUCAUAUCCAUAAUGAUAAACAUCUUCUUAGUAGAAGGAUGAUAACAACGAUAUCCCUUUUGGGUAGAGGCAUAACCUAAAAACACGUAACUAUGGAUGGGCAAGCUGGUAUAGGAGCGCAUGUUAGAGUGGGUAAUGAAGGUUCAGGGCGGGUAUAGGCCGGUUCUAAUUUUUUAAUAAGAGAAACGAGGCGGGGUAAGCUUUGAAAUUUUAGGGGCCAACUAGUUCCAAAUGUAUAGGAAAACAGGGCCCUGGACCAGCCCAUUUGUAAUUGUAAUGGAUGGCUCAACAACCUCAAGUCCUUGACGACAUAACCUCUACACCUCACUUUCUCGCCCCUCUUACUCUGCAAGUUUAAAGUCUGUCUCUCAGACUCUAGCUAACACAUUUUUUCUCUCUUUCUCCCUAUCUAUCAUUCCCAAUCGGAAAUGGAUCUGAUCCCCACCACUUGCCAGACCCGAAAAAUCCCACCCAAAAUUGAUUACUCAACGGUAGUCAUCCACGAGGACGAUGACUCUAAGUUCGAUUGACAGAGCAAGCACAAGAGCUUCGACCCGGAACUCGACCUUUACACCACCAUGGUCUAUAAGGGUAAUGCUGACGAAGAUGAAGACAACGACGCCUCUCUUCUUUCGCUCCUCAAACGCCUUCCCAAGGACUUCAGCGACAGAGCGUCAAUCGAUUACUUUGACGACGAAGAGGAAGACGAAAAUGGCGGCGAUUUCAGCAUAAUGAUCAUCAAGCCCGAUAAAAACCAGACUAUGAGGAGGUUGCACGACUUCAAGUGGGCAUCAUUCGACGAUGACAGAGACGACUAUGGGUUCUCAACCUUUGUUGUGAGGCUGUCGGGUGAGAGAGUCAGUCAGUAGGACUGUGGUGAGGAGGACGAGCAAUGGCGCUAGUUUGACAAUGAGUAAAGCGGCGGUGAGUAUGUAGGCUAAAUUAAACCUGAAAAUCCGACUUCAAAAUCUCCACUGCUUCGUGAGCUUGCCGUUCGCUAUCCAGCUUGGCGAUCAACUCGCAAAACCACUUCGGUGAAAUCUUGUUAGGUGACAGAGUCUUUGCUGCGAUUGGCACUAGAACUGCUCAUCUUUCUGCUUCAAUCUCAGUAUGCCCAAAACCGGAAGACAAAAAAAGUAAAUGGACCCAUGGACUCGCCCCGGACCAAAUGGGCCAGGUUAGGUCCGGUUCCCAAACUCAAAAUCCCUCUACUUGGCCCGGCCUACCCUGUUACAUUUUAAAAUGGGUAGGGUCAGGUUCCUUUAAAUUUGGGCUCGGCCCGGCCCGUGUCCAGCCCUACACACAACGAAGGGCUCGAGGUUCAAGUUUACUUUUUCGUUGGGAGGAUAAAGGUGAACAAAAGCAACGCACCCCAAAACUCAUAGGGGAAAAUUCAAAAUCGGCAGGCAAUUAGUCUAAGCCAUAAGGGCCUGGAAAGGUAUCUGGAAGUCGAGAUUGCGAGAAGGAAGACGAUUAAUAAGAUAGGUUGUGGACGUGAGUGCUUCACCCCAAUAAUUUAGAGGAAGAUGUGCCUCAAUGAGCGAGGCAUAAACCACUUCUAACAAGUGUUUAUUUUUUCAUUCGGCAACCCCAUUUUGUUGAGGA